CGACACACACCACAGCGCGCGCUACGAUCUGUUGCUCUACGUUCCUCCCGUCCUCUCUUUACCCCCCCCCCCCCCCCCCCCCCGCCCCAUCGCCGUUCGGCGAUUUACUCCCGCUGUUUCCUGUUUCCACCGAUGGCCGCGCGCUGACCAUUUUCAAAGCCUCCUAGAUCCGCCUUAAACCUCGACUUUCGCUCGUGCGACGGCGUAUAUUGAAACAAAAAAUCAAUCAUAGCGCUCUCAGUGUUGUUUUAACACCUGUUAGUUAUUGUUCGCUAAAUACGAUGCACUCGGCAGUCUUUUGAACUUCAACUUCUAUGGCUUCGGCGGGAAUUUG